rnacentral:rRNA from 1 species
UACGAAGGGUGCAAGCGUUAAUCGGAAUUACUGGGCGUAAAGGGUGCGUAGAUGGCCUGUUAAGUCGGAUGUGAAAGCCCCGGGCUCAACCUGGGAACGGCAUCCGAUACUGAUGGGCUGGAGUGCGGUAGAGGAGAGCGGAAUUCCCGGUGUAGCGGUGAAAUGCGUAGAGAUCGGGAGGAACAUUCGUGGCGAAGGCGGCUCUCUGGACCAGCACUGACAUUGAGGCACGAAAGCGUGGGGAGCAAACAGG